AUACGAAGGGGGCUAGCGUUGCUCGGAAUUACUGGGCGUAAAGCGCACGUAGGCGGAUCAUUAAGUCAGGGGUGAAAUCCCGGAGCUCAACUCCGGAACUGCCUUUGAUACUGGCGAUCUUGAGUUCGGGAGAGGUGAGUGGAACUGCGAGUGUAGAGGUGAAAUUCGUAGAUAUUCGCAAGAACACCAGUGGCGAAGGCGGCUCACUGGCCCGAUACUGACGCUGAGGUGCGAAAGCGUGGGGAGC
rnacentral:rRNA from 1 species